UACGUAGGGUGCAAGCGUUGCCCGGAUUUAUUGGGCGUAAAGGGCGCGUAGGCGGCUCUGCACGUUCGUUGUGAAAUCGCCCGGCUCAACUGGGCGGGGUCAGCGGAUACGGCAGAGCUUGAGCAAGCUAGGGGGCAAUGGAAUUCCCGGUGUAGUGGUGAAAUGCGUAGAUAUCGGGAGGAACAUCAGUGGCGAAGGCGGCUAUCUGGACGGUUUCUGACGCUAAGACGCGAAAGCGUGGGGAGCAAACAGG
rnacentral:rRNA from 1 species